CUGAAAAUUUAAUUGUGCAAUUCAAUUUAAUUUGAUAAUUUUUUCUUACUUCUAUUUUUUGUUUAUUACGAGAAAU
rnacentral:tRNA from 1 species